rnacentral:rRNA from 1 species
UACGAAGGGGGCUAGCGUUGUUCGGAAUUACUGGGCGUAAAGCGCGUGUAGGCGGGUCUUUAAGUCAGGGGUGAAAUGCCAAGGCUCAACCUUGGAACUGCCUUUGAUACUGGGGACCUUGAGUCCGGGAGAGGUGAGUGGAAUUGCGAGUGUAGAGGUGAAAUUCGUAGAUAUUCGCAAGAACACCAGUGGCGAAGGCGGCUCACUGGCCCGAUACUGACGCUGAGGCACGAAAGCGUGGGGAGCAAACAGG